rnacentral:rRNA from 1 species
UACGGAAGGGGCAGGCGUUGUUCGGAAUCAUUGGGCGUAAAGGGCGCGUAGGUGGUUUUGUGUGUCUACCGUGAAAGCAUACAGCUCAACUGUAUUUUGUCGGUAGAAACUGCAGGACUUGAGGCUGGGAGGGGCUGGUGGAAUUCCCUGUGUAGCGGUGAAAUGCGUAGAGAUGGGGGAGAACACUCGUGGCGAAGGCGGCCAGCUAGACCAGUUCUGACACUGAGGCGCGACAGCGUGGGGAGCAAACAGG